rnacentral:lncRNA from 1 species
GCGUUCUUAACCUGAUGAAGCAUUUCAGCAAAGAUUCAUUCUUCAUAGGAUCUGCAAUGUGGCAAGAGGUGCAGGCGUUGGCGAUCCUCUCGUAGGAUACCCAAAUUGUUUUUUUUCUCUCUUUUUUGUUUCUUUUUUGCGUUUUAUUUUUUCUUUUUUUUUUUGUUUUUUUUUUGACACAGACAUAACACUGGAUACACAAUGAUGUAUGGUACACGAUCUUUGCUGCCAAGAAAAACAUGCCAUUUAAACUUUUUCUCCUCGGAGCAUGCAUAAAGUUGCACUUAUUCAUUUGCCCCUUUCAUCUUUGGUUUACAUUGCAGUAGUUCACUUAGGGGACAUGUGGCAUUCAAGGUACCCUUACUCAUGCGAGAGAUGAACCACAUAUGGGAUACUGGUAAACAACAAAACAUCUUCCCGACCUUUAGCUCAUGACACUGAUUAAUAGUCCCAUCAAUUUCAGUUAAGACAACCAAGACUGGAUUCUCAGAGCAAACUUUGUAUCCCACAAAUGCAUUCAUG